rnacentral:rRNA from 1 species
UCGGGGUCUUGGGAGUUUGGUAGGCACAUAAMGUGUAGUUUACCGCGUGGGGAGUACCGGCCCCAAAAUUAAAAUCCAAAGRAAUUGCCGGGACCCCGCACAAGCGGUGGAUGAUGUGGAUUAAUUUGAUGCAACCCCAAAAACCUUWCCUACCCUUGACAUGUCUCAAAUCCCGAGAAAAUUUGGAAUUGCUCCAAAKAGAAUGCAACACAGGUGGUGCAUGGUGGUCGUCAGCUCGUGUCGUGAGAUGUUGGGUUAAGUCCCGCAACGAGCGCAACCCUUGUCAUUAGUUGCUACGAAAGGGCWCUCUAAUGAGACUGCCGGUGACAAACCGGAGGAAGGKGGGGAGGACGUCAGUUCUUCAUGGCCCUUAUGGGUAGGGCUUCACACGUCAUACAAUGGUCGGGACAGAGGGCAGCCAGCCCACGAGGGGGAGCCAAUCCCACAAACCCUAUCGUAGUCCGGAUUGCUGUSUGCAACUCGACCGCAAGAAGUCGGGAAUCGCUUGUAAUCGSGGAUCCGCAUGCCGCGGUGAAUACGUUCCCGGGUCUUGCACACACCGCCCGUCACACCAUGAGAGUGGGUUCCACCAGAACU